rnacentral:sRNA from 1 species
GUCUAUUUUCGCAGUGCUCUUAUGCAACUGCAUCUCUAUAAUGGAUCUGAGCAGGUAUCCUUCACUUAAGAAAAUGUGGAAGUAAAGAUGCAUUUAUCCCUUGAAUUCAGAUAUGUGUUUGACUUCCAGAAGACUGCUAAGGGAAUCUAGUAAGACAGUGUGAUAUUCACACAGUACUAAAGAUAACCAAUUUUCAUCAAUCUAAUCAGUAUUCAAUAAAGAUUGCCUGUGUAUUUAAGAUGUGAUAUCAUGUGGAAUUAGGUGAGAAUGGUAUAUUUCCAAAUAAAUUCAUUAAGGUCGAUUCAGUCUUCCGCAGGGGG